rnacentral:snRNA from 1 species
AUUGUGUGAAUCCUUCGUUCAA